rnacentral:lncRNA from 10 species
CUUUACUACUGCUGCGGAAAAGAGGACAACACUCCACAUUUCUGGCAUUGUAAAUGACAACACCGCAACUGAAAGCAAGCUUGAAUUUCUGGGAGUAGCAUUAGGAUACAGGACCCCUGCUGAGCUCACCAGUUCCUUGCUCUACACAGCUGCUUUCUCAGCUGGGGUUUUGAAAUAAGCACUGUGAGAAAAGACAGAAAUGACCAUGAUGCAUCUUUCUCACUAUGAGAAAAAGGUACUCUGGGGAUAAGAAGUGAAUAGAACAUAUUUAAGUUCUGGGGGACUCAAUCUGAAGAAGAAAGCAGAUACGGAAAUAAAACAGUGGAAUCACUUGCAGAGGAAACACAAGGAAAUGCUUAUAAUUUUUUCCUGGGGAGGUGAGGGAAGGCAUUUGGGGAAAGAAAAUGCCCGAUAUUAUCCUUGAAACAUGGAUUAGAACUGAACAGGGAAUCUAGUCCUAGAAGUCCCAAGACAGAGACAACAGCAAAUACUAAGUGCAGAGAGGUACCAUGUGAAGGCCUGGGCAUAUAACAUGAAACAAGAAAGAUAAGGCCCGUGCUUACAUAGAACUUGGUGAAGAAUCUAGACCAUAACAAGCACACAGAGAAAACGUAUCACAAAUUGUGCUAAAGUUCUGUAAAGGGAUUAAGAUGAAGUGUCACAAGACUGAAUUAGACAGAGUGCCCUUGAAAGAGUGCCAAUUUUUAGAAUGGAGGGUGUAGAUCCAUCCUUUGCAACUGGUGAGGACCUCCUCAGUAAGGCACUGAGCCAGGAGUCUAUACAGCCAUGCCAGCAGGGAGCACUGUCUUUCAUUGUCUGAUGUUUAUUGCAAACCUGUUCUUUUCAGCUUUUUGUUGUUUCAGCCUAGUCCAAAGACGUUUACAUCCUGGAAGAGAACUUGCUGGCUUUUCACCUCAGCAUGUAUGGGCCAAACUAAUAUAACAAGAAGUCUUGAGAGGAGUCAGCGGCCAAGCUCCAUGUCUUGCAGCCAAACAAUGCUGUGGGAUGGAAGGUGGGAUGUCAUGUGUCUGGUUUACAGCACUCACGUAUCAGUUGGCAGUUAACGGAAGUGCUACUGAUUGGUGAUAUGCCUACUCCCCCUUCACCUUCGAUCAUGAUUGUAAACUUCGUGAGGACAUCACCAAAGGCUGACAUUGGCAACAUGCUUCCUGUACAAUCUGCAGAACAACGAUGGAACAAAAUAAACACCUUUUCUUUAUAAAUUACCCGGCUUCAUGUAUUCCUUCAUAACAAUGCAAAGCAGCCUAAUACAAAUUGUCAGUGAGUAGGCAGAUUUUCAGAAUGUAUGGCUAAUUGGAAUUUCCAUGGUCCUAUAUGAGAAGAGAUUUGAAGUAAUUCCAUAGAAUGUUAUGAGCGCCCUGGGAGAAGAAAAAGGGUGAUUUUUCAGAAGGAAAAGAGUGUAAGAAAAACAUGAAAUUCAAUUUUCCAAUGACAGUUCUG